GCUUCCUAUAGGAAAACCAGCGCCAACCUCUACUUAAGGUUAUAUCAUCUAAUGUGUAUUUAUAAAGAGAAAUAGUAGCAUUACUUUUUUUUUUUUUUUAAAUCUCUCUAUGUAGUCCUGCUCUGGAACUUGCUAUGUAGACUAGGCUGGCUGUGAACUCACAUAGAUCUAUCUACCUGUCUCUGCAUUCCCUGUGAUGGGAUAAAAAGUGUAUGCCUCUAUUAUUUCCACAACUGGAGAAGACCACCGACCAGAUCAUCAGGGCCAAAUUAAUUAAAGCAAGCUUUUAAAAAUUCCUGCCCACGGGAUGUCUCUCCCCAAAGCUAUUUAUCUUCAAAAUUAUUGUAGUCCCUGAGCAGUGCACUACAAAAGCCACUGGCCCACGAAAGCCCUCAAAGCAGCAGCAGGAACCCACGUCCUGCCCCGACAUGAGCUGUCCAAGAUGGCGGCUCCUGUCAAAAUGGCGGCACCACAUCAGCCUGCAGUCCUCACAGGAGUAUAGGAGCUGCACACCACGGUGCACCACCUUUCCCUCCUCAGCAAGAGCGGCCCCUCAGGAGCUGUCCACAGUGGUGACACCCUCUUUCCGGCCUCAGCCUACAGCUUUCUGGAUACAUCACUCCAGGAGCCAGCCCGCAGGGGCUGUCCACAGUGGCAGCACCUCCUCCACAGCCUCCCCACCUCCCCACAGCAGCCUCACAGAGAUGACGCCUCAGCAAGAGCUGCAGGGAAGGAUUCUUACACCAACCCCUGGGUCAUCUGCAGGGAAAAGGGGGUUAAAACAUAACAUAACAUAACAUAACAUAACAUAACAUAACAUAACAUAACAUAAAGCCAAAAAGCCACCAAUCCCUGAGCUCCCUCAAGCUCAGGACUUGAAAUCUCUGCCCUGAGAAGCUCUGCCCCCUCAGAAAUCCUAUCUAUGCACUGUCUCUUUGUCCAAAUUCCCUUUUGUCCACUCCUGGAAGCAGAUGGCAGCCAUCCCUGGAUUUGUCCCUCCAUAUCCUGGGCCCUCCAAUAAAUCUUUCCUGAGAUUU